GUGUGUGUGUGGGGUACUGUUUUACUCAGGAGACUUUGCUGAACACAGAUCAUGAUAUUGUCAGUGAAAGUGAUAUUGUUCAGCUAAGUUUCCUGAGUAUAACAGUACCCCCCAU